rnacentral:rRNA from 1 species
AUACAGAGGGUGCAAGCGUUAAUCGGAAUUACUGGGCGUAAAGCGCGCGUAGGCGGUUUGUUAAGUUGGAUGUGAAAGCCCCGGGCUUAACCUGGGAGGAUCAUUCAAAACUGACAGACUAGAGUGUGGUAGAGGGUAGUGGAAUUCCUAGUGUAGCGGUGAAAUGCGUAGAGAUUAGGAGGAACACCAGUGGCGAAGGCGACUGCCUGGACCAACACUGACGCUGAGGUGCGAAAGCGUGGGUAGCGAACAGGAUUAGAUACCCUAGUAGUCC